AUAACUUUCUCGGCCUUUUGGCUAAGAUCAAGUGUAGUAUAUGUUCUUAUCAGUUUAAUAUCUGAUACGUGGGCCACGUGUCCACGGAUAUUAAAUUAGUAUUUUGUGGGGGAGGGCCCACCACGGUAGGUCGCUACUGGGGCCCCCAUGUGUCGCCUUGGCUUUGCACUGCUGCCUUGCUCGGUGCACCCCAA
rnacentral:snRNA from 1 species